UAGUUGUUUCAAAAUUUGAUAAUGUCUCUUCCAUUUGUUAUGGUCAUCUACAGGCCCACUUGUAUCCAUAAUUCCACUAAUUAUCAGCUGCCUUACAUAUGAAUGGGGGUAAAAAAUCCCAGAUCGUAUGAGUUCCACUAUCAGCAGCUGAAGACGCUUCAAACCUUCUCCUUUUUGAACUUCAUGUUGAUCAAUCCAACACACUAUGAUAUCAUGUAAAGGACCCGGGCUCUCAAAUA
rnacentral:misc_RNA from 1 species